rnacentral:rRNA from 1 species
UACAGAGGUCUCAAGCGUUGUUCGGAUUCAUUGGGCGUAAAGGGUGCGUAGGCGGUUCGAUAAGUCGGAUGUGAAAUCUCCACGCUCAACGUGGAGGGGCCAUUCGAUACUGUCGUGACUCGAGUCCGGUAGGGGAGUGUGGAAUUCCCGGUGUAGCGGUGAAAUGCGCAGAGAUCGGGAGGAACACCCGUAGCGAAGGCGGCACUCUGGGCCGGUACUGACGCUGAGGAGCGAAAGCGUGGGGAGCAAACAGG